CAUAUUUUGCCAAACUAGACGAACAACAACAAACACAACCACAGCAAAAUACGAAGAUAUGUCGUGUGCAGCCCUUACUAGUGUAUCGUAUCGGUGGAUUUCAAAGGCAUCAACGAAACAUUCGGUUCAACGGUCAUUUUUUGCCAACCUCGACUGUUGAUGCACCAUGAGCACAGUUAACUACAGAUCGGAUAAACAACCAUUCGGAUAUCAUGAUCUUGUGAUAGGGUCGCGUCUUAAAAUUAUGCAAACAAAAAGAUUGACAUCUCAGUUCUAUACAAACGACCAUUUCCAUGUAUUGUUGGAGGAGGAAAGUGAUGCUGCCUUUCUAUUCGAAUACAGAUGCAGAGAACCCGAUUUUCAAAAGCUAGAGCUACAGUUAUGGCAAAUUGAAAUGGAAAUUAUGAGGCAGUGGCCUACUUGAGUUUUACAAACUCUCCACUGAAAUUGAGACCAGCAUGCAAGACCAAAGUCAUUAAACACAACAAGAUACUGCUGUUGGUGUACAUGUACUUCAGAUGCAUCAGUCCGGUUUAUCAGCUGUGUGAAAUCAACAUCUCCACAGCAGCAGCUGGGACCUCAUUCUUUGCUGGAUGGAUACAGAGAUGACCCCAGAGAUGUAGCCAUCACUGUGACAUGGACAUUAUAGAUAGUGACCUUAAACUAAUCAUAAAAAAAUGUUGAAAAAUUAUGGUUUUCUAAUAUUAAGUUGAGAUUAACAUUAUUUUUAGAAUUUGUGAACAAUUAGUGUUAAAGCUGAACUAUAGAUUGAGAAUACAUAAUGAAGAGGUACGGUAAAUUCACUGAGGAGUUAUUUAACAUAUAACAAUGAAGGUCGACUUCCUAAUGGUCUGUCACCAAUUAUCAGAUAUGUCACAUAUGCUGCACGCUUCAUUUGCUUCAGAGACUGAAUAGAUUUUCAUACUGGGUAUUUAAGUGUUUUGCUUAUUUCGAUUUUAAAAAAUAUUUUGAAAUUAAUCGCCAAAAAAAUUGAAAGAUUGUCACCACUUUUGCAAAUUUGCCAAGGGCAAUUGCCAAUGGAAACAAAAUUGAAUUAUAUAAAAAACAAAUAUUUGGCACAAAUGUGUCCGUAAUUUCUUGCAUGCAUGUAGGAACUGCUUGAUGAAUAUAUGACCAAUUAAUGACUUUAUGAACUCUGCAUGAUGUUUACAUCAGAUAGUUACUUUCUAUAUCUGUAAUGACAUUAAGAUAUAUGAGCAUUAACUCUAAGGCAUUGCAUGUAGUAAGUGGUGAUAUAUUUAUGUGCAUUUGAGAUGAGUCUGCCUUGCCAAAAUCUGCGUGUUCACCUCCCAGUUCAACAGUGACAAUAAAAUGUGCCAAAUCAAGUUCACAGUUAAUAUUUAGAAAUACUUUUUUGUUUAGGAAGGUAUAGAGUAUUUGUGGCGGGAUGACCAUAGGUGGCAGUAUUAGUCAGGGAUGGUCAACCCUCAACAUACACUUUAGUGAAACAUAAAGGUAAAUCAAUGCAGUAACUAUAUAUAUAUAUAUAUAUAAAUAUUACA